CUUAGGAUCACCCAUGCAGGAAUGCAAAUGCUUUGUCACAAUAGCCCCUGGCAGAAAUCAGGCAUACAGCUCUUCUGAAAGGCAGAUGCUUCGCUUGGCAGUGCAGGCACUGGUUUCUGUUCCACAACAACUUUCUGAAUUUGGAGAUAGAAAAUGAUGGAGUUCCAUAAUAGCCUUCAGUUCCAUUUUCAUUGCUGAUCUUGAAGAGAAGACAGCUGGACUUCCAGAUGCCUCCAGCCUCUCCCAGAUCCCCAGCUGGGUCUGCAGCUGAUGGAAGUUGUGUCAACUGAUAAAAUGAAUGGAAACACUGGCGUACACCUGGAAAGGGUUCUGGAAAGGCCGAAAAGGUAGA